CUGAGAUGACACCACUCCGUCAUCUCCCUCAUGUUGGCCACCGAAUGGACCUACUUCAUCCUGUGUUGGCCAUCGUGUUUCUCCCUCCCCCCUACAGCAAUAAUUAUACGGACAUUUUCAUGUUCAGAUGGACGAGGAACGAAAACAUGGCCAUCAACAUAAAUAAUGGCAUAUACAAAUUUGCACCAUAAAUGUGCGACACAAGGCUGUUGCGGAGACGCCGCGGGACAAAUAUAUAUAUAUAUAUAUGUUUAUACGUAUGUAUGUUAUGGAAUGGUAUGUUAAGGUUAAAUGUGAAUCGCUUAAUAUUACCUUAGCCUGCCUAAAGAGCUCUCUGGGUGGUUUAAGGGGCGAUGUAAGGGUAGAGUAUAUGUAUAUAUUUAUAAAUGUUUAUAUAUAUAUAUAUGUUUAUCUGUCAAUCUAUGUGUGCUUGUGACUGUAAUUAGAUCUCAUUAUAUACUUAAAUAUAUAUAAAUAUCUGUUAAAUAUUAA